AGGGAUCUCUGGUGCGCUGAAGGGGGAGGGUGGUGCUGGUGGUAACUGUCCCGGAGGUGGAGACCCGCCGACUGGAGGCGAGAGGCGGCCGUGGGGCAGUUUGGGCAGCGCCGCUACAUCUCUCAGGAAUUGGGACGGGGAAAAGUGGAGGAGGGGGAGGGGAACUCUUUGUUUGCAGUUGGAAUGCGCGGAGGGGCACGGUGGAAUGUGACGGUCCCGGACGGGGCGACGCGAGGCAUGUUCUGCGCAAACAUCGUGACUUUGUUCCUACUGUGGGGACUGUGGGAGAGACGGAGAGAGACUGGCACAGAAGUAGUGAGACAGGGAGAGUUCCAUAAAGAGGGGGACAGGGAAAAAGAAAGGUAGAUACACAAAGAGGCUCAGAGACGCGUAUGUGAAGAACCCAGAAGGGCGAUGAAACCCAUGUAGAGAGGUGGAAGACAGGUAGCGAAAGAAAGGGCGAGCCGGAGCAAACGGGAUCGUGGGUGGUACGGAGACCGAAAGAUGAACAGACUAAGAAAAAGAAAAAUUUAUGCAUGUCCGGACAGAAUGAGAGACCUACGAUAAUCUGCAAUAAAAAGACACCACUUUCUGAACCCAAAGCUCUGCGACGGUAGGGAGAGAAGGACCUUUAGGGGCUACGUAAAAGGAGUGGGGAAAAGGGUUGGGGCUAAUCUCUACCUUCAGGGUGGGACAGAUACAGGAAUAGAGACACCCCCUGGUGUUGGGAAAUGAGAUUUUUAGCAACUAUUUCAGGUGACUAUGGGGAUAGAAGGACUGGUUUUAGGGCUAGCGAAUGCCUCCCCCUUGGUUGGCCCACAGGAGAUUGGUGAUAAAGAGUAAGUAUUAACUUAGGAAGAAGAAGAGAAAUGUCCUUUAGACGAGCUAGCAAGUGAAAAUGAUCAGGGUGGAAAAGGGAAAGAGGCUUCUAAUAUGGGCCACACUGGAAGGAUCAAGAACAAGGAAAGAAGGAAAGGGGGGGCUGAAACUGAACAUACCUAAUUAAAUACCAGUCAACUGAUUUUGCCCUGACUAGCACAUCAGGCGCAAGGGGUGGAGGAGGUAGAAUGGAGAAGGAAAAUGAUUCUUUUGUAUUUAGAUAGUAAAUGAGUAUGAAAAUUAUAUGCAAACAAAUCAUGCAUAUUAUUUUCAUUUCAACAUUUUGAACACCUUUCAUAAUCUUAGUGUAGCCUUAGGGAAUGGUGAAGCAAAGGAGGUUAAUAUCUUUGGGGAAAUUAAUUUGGCACAAACUAUUUGGCUUCUUUGUCCUAGCUGCAUUGUCUCCCUGACCUCAUCUCUCGGGAGAAUCAGCCUCUCUGUUUCCCUAUCAGGCCUACAGCUCUUCUCUGAUCCGGAGGAGAGUUCACUAUCAGACCAGAAGCAGGGAACACUGAAAGCGUUAGUAACAGAGGGGAGCUAUCAGGUUGCAUCCAGAACCUGCUGUGAGCAACAUCUUCAGAAUUAACCAUAAGGCUCUCCCUCCUUUCCUGUCUCCAUAUGGAGAAGGAAAACCUGGAUUCUUCCUUCCUAUUACUUACAACCAGAAUAUCCACAGAGCCUCUCAUAUUUGGAAGCUUUCCCCAUUUAUAGUGAGGAUGGGAGACUGAAUCUCUUAUGAAAAGUUGAGGAGCCUUUGGUGGUGGCAGCAGUGGGCACAGUUGGGAUCAAGCACCUGUAUUUUCAGGGGAUAACAGGAAACAGAGACAAGUGAAGGGGGAGAGGGAUGCACUGAGGGCAUACUCCGGUAGUGCUCAUGACCUCAGGGUAAUCACUCUUUUGGAGCCAGGAGCUCCACCAGCCCUGUUCUCCCUUCUCAAGACUUUAAUUAUGAACUAUGUACACAGAUGGCUCCCAAAUCCCUAUCUGUAGCCCAGACAUUUUUUUUUUUUUAAGGUAAGCUCUAUGCCCAACAUGGUGCUUGAACUCAUGACUCUGAGGUCAAGAAUCCCAUGCUCCACUGAUUAAGUCAGCCAGGUGCCCCUUAGCCCAGACUAUCUUAGACUUAAAAACUCAGCUGACUACUAUCAUCUCCACGUGGUUGUCUCAAAGGCAUACAACCCCCUCAACUGACUAUACCUUCUCUGCCUCCUGAAAUUGGCCCCUCCAGCAUCCCAAGUAAACGGCGCCAUUAACCACUUAGAUGCUUAUGCCAGAAACCUGAACGUCAACCUUAUGUCCUCCUCCCUCAGCCUUAAGUCCAAGCCCUGUCAAUCACCAAGUCCUUUCAGUUCGGCUUCCUAAAUCUCUUUCAAAUCCCCUCACCAUCACUUUCUGUCUAGCCACCAUCUCUUCUCUCCUGAACCACUGCAGGACAUCCCCCCCUGCCCCCGCCCCCGCAAGGCUUUCUCCCUGCAAUCCAUCUUAUCCCCAGGGCAAGUGAUUCUUAUCAAACACAGAACUGACCAUCUCAUUUCCCUGCUUACCACCUUUGAAGGAUUUCUCAUGGCCUUUGAACUAAAGUCUAUACUCUUCAAGAUACUUGACAAGGUCUCUGGGUCUCUCCAGCUUUCCUCUGCACCAACUCCUCCCCAUCUUUCAGGUAUUACUUUAAACAGCACUCUCUGAGAAGCGUUUCCCCACCACCAGCGUAGGUGAGCCAACCCUGCUGUCUGCUGCCGCUACACCUUCUGCUCCCCCAUCACCACCCUUAUCACAGUUCAUUUCACUGUCUACUUAACUACCUGGCUUCCUGAUUAGAUAAUAAAACCUAAUCGGCAUCUAACCUGAUCCACAGUGUAACCACAGCACCCAAGACAGUACCUGACACCUAGUAAGCAAUCAGUAUUUGUUACAUACUGACUGAACAGAAAGCCAUUUUUACUUCACAAUCCAUUAGUAAUGCACAAAGUUUGGGUGUGGAUGUGUGGGGGUGCACGUGUGGGUGUGCGCGUGCGCGCGCACACACGCACACACGCACACACACACACACACCCCUUCCUCAAAAUAUAGUUUGGUUGACAGGACUAAUAGCUACAAAGCCUCAUAUACUGCUUGGUCACACAGUGGGAGAGCAGCUGCUAGUGACACAUGGGAACUCUUUAAGCUUUAAUUUCUUCAUGUGUAAGAUGGGAAUAAUAAAAUCUGCCUUAUAUAAUUCAAUAAACAAUAGCUAUUAUAUCUGUUUCCCAAUUCCCAAAUAGAGACACAGCCGUGUUCUGCUCAGAAGCAUCAAGCCCAUGGCUGAGACUGCCCACCAGGUGGCAGUAUUAUCCUGGACUGGUUCUGUUCGGCUUCCACUGCAGAGCCAGACCAGCAGUCAUGGGGAAGCAGAAGGUACAACCAGGGCUGCUUCCCCAGAGCUUUGAGUGAAACCAGAAAAAAAACCAACUCAGAGACUGGGGCAGAUGUCAAGAAGGCCUCAUGUUUCUUAGACCCAUCCUUCUCCUUUUUUUCAGCUCAGGCUCCCCGAGGCACUAUUUAUGCUUAGAAAUAAGCAUUUUCUGGCUUGCCAUUCACAGUGGGGGGCGGUUUUCCCCCUUCUAGAUAAGUCUUUAUCCCAGCACAGCUGCUGGCUUCCACUUCCAUUGGGGACUGUGUUAAGAAGAGAGACAGAUUUGCUUUCUCAGACUGCAGAGGACAUCUUGUUAUUCUGGGAAGCCCCGCGGCCAUCCAUUUCUGGGACAUGGGGAGUGGCAGAAGCCAGAGUUAUUCUUGGUUAUAGAUUUCAUUCAUCCUUUUCCACUUUGAUUUCAAUGAAGGAGUUCAAGUCAGGACAACAGGUUUUGUGGGGUUGGUCAAAAGAUGGGGAGACAGGUCCAUUCUCAUCACCUCCCUCAUCUUCCUCUUCUUGGAAAUUAGGAUUAUAAAGUUCUGGUGGAAGGAGCUGGGCCUCAGCAGAAGGUAAUCGGUCUGAGGGAGGUCCAUACACACGGUUGGCUUUUGUGCCAUGCUUAGAGUUGGCAUCCAGGUGGUAGCAGAGUUCCGUGAGGCGCUGGGCCCGGAAACGGGGAGGCCGGGCCACCCAGACACCUGGCUCAUUAAGACUGUCCUCUUCGUCUGACAUCAGCUCUUCUGUCACAUCCUUCCAUAGGCGUUGGUCCUCAGGUCCAAAAUGCCUCAUGAUGCUGGAUCGGUUGGCAAAAAGCUAAGGUAGGAGCCCAGGAUAGAGAUUAGGAAGAGAGACAGACUAAGGAUUAGAUUUGGGGAGAGGAGUUCGGGUAGGAAAGCUGUGUAAAAUCUGUGCCUGAGAGAACCUAGCCCCCCUCCCUCCUCCUCUACCUGCUAACAUUCCUGGCUCUCAACCCUAUUCUCAGAUGCCAGGUCCUCUGGCCCUUCCCACUGCAGCUCAGUAGGGUUUAGCAUUUAGCAUCUUGAAAGGAAGGCCUAGAAACCUACCCGGUAUCUGCGACUUCGAAGCUUCUUCUCCUCUUUUUCCUUCAGGCCUUUAAAGGGGUUCAGGGAAUUGCGGUACUCACGCCUCUUAGUAAGGAAGUAGGCUACACAGGCUCCUGGGAGGAGGGAGAAGGGAGGGGGCAGAGAGCAGGGUCCUCUGAACCAGGUCCUCAGCCCUUUUUUCUGCCCUAACACUGUUGGCUGGGAAGGUGAGGGUCCCUCUAGAUGGUGGGCUUUCUCACAGACCCAUCAGCAGGUAUUUACUCCUCUUUGGUUUAGCUCUCUCUGCUCACCUCCAUGUCCAGCACUGACUCCACCCAUAUCUCCCCCUGGGAACACAAGUCCAAGCUUCUGUAACUCCCUCCCUGGCCCUUGACUCAAUUAAACCCACUCCCAUUCUACUCUGCUGGUAGUAGAUUCAAGUGCUUUUUCAACAGCAGCUUUCUAAAUGCUUCAGGGUUAGCUACAAGCAAAAAACAGAAGAGUAAGGAAAGUAGAAAACCCAGGACAUAAUAUUUAGGGACAAAAGGGCAGGCCUGGGGCGCCUGGGUGGCUUAGUCGGUUGAGCGUCAGACUCUUGAUCUCAGCUCAGGUCAUGAUCUCAAGGUUCUGUCGGUGAGUUCAAGCCCUUUGUUGGGCUCUGCACUGACACGUGGAGCCUGCUUGGGAUUCUCUCUCUCCCUCUCUCUCUGCCCCUCCCUCACUUGAGUGAGCGCGCACAUCUUAAACUAAAUAAAUAAAAAAACAGAAAGGGCAGGCCUGGAUUCUGACUUCCUUUUCUUUUUUUUUUUUUUACUUUUUUUUUUAACCUUUAUUUAUUUUUGAGACAGAGAGAGACAGAGCAUGAAUGGGGGAGGGUCAGAGAGAGGGAGACACAAAAUCUGAAACAGGCUCCAGGCUCUGAGCUGUCAGCACAGAGCCCGACGCGGGGCUCGAACUCACGGACCGCGAGAUCAUGACCUGAGCCGAAGUCGGUUGCCUAACCGACUGAGCCACCCAGGCGCCCCCUGACUUCCUUUUCAUAACACCCUAGAUUCAGGCCCUGCAGAAACAUCAUGCACGCUGGUUUCAGCCCUUUCCUUUUCCCAUUUUCAGUUCAAGCGGGGCAGGGGAAUAAAAAAGCAAUUAGAAACCAUUCUGUGAAGAAGAUGUGAGAAUAGCCCCAAAAUUUUAUUUUAAGUCCACUCUUUUGAAAACCACCCAAAUCAUCUCCAUUAUGCCUCUACUCUGAACAAGAACAGUGAGUGGAAAAAGGAUGAGAUGGGAGUUAAUUCAGUUUUUUCUCACCUUUCAGCUCCUUAUCAGUGUAAUUGUGGGGACUGGUCACCAGCUCCUGCUUGAGCUUUUCCAGAAGGAACUUCACUACUGAAAUAUUCCAAGAGGACUUGAUGCUGCCACAAAGAUCAUGAACAAGGCAGUCAGCAUUUUGAAAGCCAGAAAAACAGAGAUUCCUGGCAUGAAUCAACUGUGUGGUAAAUGCCCUCACGGCCAAGGGCAGGAUGCAAGGGGCAAUGGUGAGAGCAAAGCCUUAGCCUCAUUGUUACACUGGAACAGCCCUCUAGUUCCCUCUCCUUGGCAGAGUACCUUAUGAUUGUUUUCCCUCAAGGGGAUCGUACCUUUCAGACCCAUUGAAUCUCUUGUCGUUGGUGAUGUGGUUAUGCACAUUGUGGACCAAUUUCUAGGUGAAAAAACAAACACAGAUUCAAGCUGAGAGUGUAUAUGAUGGAACCCUCCUCUGUUCCCUAGGCAUUGUCUCUAUGGGGUUCUCUGCCCGAAUCCUUCCCAUAGUCUGGGCACCAUUUCUGAUGACACUCUUUCUUAGCCAGAGAGCCUAUCCAAGUCAGUACUUCUAAUGUCCCCCCUUUUUUGGUCCUUUUCAUUUAAUUUGUAUGGAGGCUCUAGGAUCAUCCCUGGUCUUACUUUUCUGUUCCUGGGGAAUAUGAUCAGUAGAGCAAAAGGUCUCAGACAUUUUCACAAACAUACUCCUUACAAAUAGCCAGGAGAGAGCAAAUAUACACCAAGACUACUGCAAGUGGACAUUUCUUGAGGCCCCCUAUUCUUGCAAAUUUUAAAGUUUUCUUUACAAUAUAUCUAUAUAUUUUUAAUCUAAAAAUGUCUUCCAAUCUUUUAGUACAAUUGAUGACCCAGGAAAAUGCCCUAGGUGUAUAUAUCCUUUUGCACAUUACCACAAGUCCCAGGGGUAUACACACCAUGGUCUGAAAAACACAAACCUAAAAUAACAGAAAUGUGAAAUGCAAAGGACCUUGGAGACUCUAUCACCCAACCUCCCUUUCACAUCAUCGAACAGGCUUUCAGCUUUGCUUACACACCUUUAAUAAUGGGUUCUCACUAGUUUUUUGGGCCAGCUUAUUUUACUGUUGAACAUCUCUAAUUGUUAAAAAGUUUUGCCUUAGACUCCAAAAUCUGACCAGUUUUGCCUAUAACGGCACCUAACAUCUUUGAAGACAGGUCUCAUGUACUCCCCAAAUCUUCUCCUAUUCAGUCUAAAUAUCCCCAAGUCCUUCAGCCAUUCCUCAUGACAGUUUCCAAACAGACUCUUCAUGAAACCAUCAGGCUCUCUGGCUUGCCAGUGUCCCUUGGACAACAUGGCACUGGGAACUGAAUCUAAUCCAUCAGCUGGGACCUGGCCAAAGGGAGCAUUACUUCCCUGAAUGGAACUCUACAUUUCUAGGAAUGAAACCCAAGAUGGUGUUACCUUUCUUAGCAACCCCACCCCUAUUCCCAAUGUCACAGGGUUCAUUCCCUGUGAGCUGUCAACUCAAGUCUACUUUUCACAUGGAUUCCUAUCUCUGCCAUUCUACAACUGCUUUGCUUUUUUAACUUUGAUGCAGAAUUUUACAUUUCUUCCUAUUAGAUUUAGUUUUGCUGUUUCUGAUUAUAUUUUUUAUCUCAAGCUCCCUCAGUCAGUGGAAAUUCCCAGUCCCAAACCGAUGGACCCAUAUACUGAUCUCAAGACCUCAGUUUCAAUUAAGAAAUCCCCAUUUACCCUUCUGCUUCUAUGACUGACUAACCAUAUCAAUUUAGGAAAUUUUUAUGGUUAGGGUCUCUACUCUAUAAAAAAGGCCUGUAAUUAAACUAGCUUCUCAUAUUUUAUAUAUUUUAUCUCUUAGAAGUCCCAACUUAAGGAAUCACAAGAGGUGGGCAAAUGCUUCAAAAAAAUUUGAAAGUGUUGCAAAAAAAAGGAAAAAAGGGGAGUUGCACAGCUUCCAAUUCAAGUGGCUUGGAAGAGAUCAGCUGAUAAAAAUCAAACCAGGCUUGAAGUGGAAAGGGAAAAUACUCCGAGACAAUAAUAAGUGUUAAGACUGUAAAGGCAGCUGGCUCACCUACCUCCUGAGUGAGCUAAAAAUAAAUAUAUUCCCCAAUGGGUAGCUGGGAUUUGCAGCAUUCCAAGAAGUCAGUGGUUCCGGUUUGGUCCUUUUGGAUCCCUAGCAGUGACCCACAGCAGCCUGAGUGGAUUGGAGAGAUGCCUCCUUGAUUCCUUCCCAGAGCUAAAGGCUGGAAGACUGAAGGCCUGCGGCUAGCCCUCUCCCUCUAAACCACAUUUUAAACCUUCCUCUGUGAUGGGCAGCAAAAUUCCCUGACCAGUCCUCCAGGGCCUUUUCAAGUAAUGUAACAGAGAGCAUGGGGAGUGAGCAUACUCUCCUCCAAGGUCCUCAGUUUCACCAGGCUCUCCAAAGGGCAGGUGGGAGCCAGCCCUCCACACCGACCUCUCGCUGGAGGCAGUAGGCUGGAGAGGAAUGGAAGUGGUCGGAAACCCUAAUUUUAUGCAAAUUGUAAUUAUCAUACAUUUAUUCAUGAUUUAAACACUAUGCUUGAAAUGCAUUUCUAGGUACAUAUGCCUCCAUUUCUAUCACUGGAAGCAAGAGAUUCAUGACAGAAAAACUAAACCCUAUUCGUGAUAAGUGAGAUAUCCCUGAACAUAACCAAAAUUUUAAAUGAAGUCUGGAAAAAAAGAUAAUAAAAUAAAAUAAAACGAAGGUUAGAAACCAGUUGAUUCGGAUUAUGAACGGUGUCUUCCUUCCCAGGGAUGAAAAGAAUCCCUCGGUGUAAAAACAAAUCAAGUGAAAGGGAGAGUAAGAGUCAGGAGCCCUUAGGAAAGGGAAAAAGAAGAAAGAAGUAAUGCAGAUGAAGAAGGUGUGCGCGUAACCGGCUGUCUUCAACCUUUACUAAGACUGUGACAGGAGGAAAGGGGCUGUGCUGUGAGAUUUCUUCGGAUGGGUGUGAAUGAUGAGCUCCCCUCCUAAUCAGAACUCUCCAGUUACUCUAUCAGCCAUAAGCCAGAGAAAGGAAAUGGCUUAUAGUCCAUAUGAACACGAUCUAGCUAAGGAACACCCCCGUGGUUAUCAGAAAGAUGUUCUGGGGCACAGAGUUGAUCCACAGGACAAUGGUUACCUUAGAACAGGGUUUCUCAACCUUGGCACUAUGGACAUUUUAGGUCGAAUAAUUUUCGGGGGCUGCCCUGUGCACUGCAGGAUGCUUAGUGAUGUUCCUAAGGCUCCAAGCCACUCCAAGUUUCAGGCAAAACUGGUUCAACCCGGUACCUUCCCUGCCAAGAUCCCCUUGGAUCACUAGACUGUCCAAACCUUCAUAACUGAGCUGAGUCUCUAGUGGUCCUCUGCAUCCUUGGGGUUUGGGACCACCUCAGGAUACCUUGGCCUUUCUGCCAAUGGGUCCCUUGCUGCUUACCCUGAACACUGGUAAAUGGCAGGCUGUUUCUAGUGCUAGGGAGGAGGUGUGAUAUAAUUCCCUUCUCUUUAAACAGAAGAUUUCAAUCUAUUUGGCAAAGCCUUAAAAAAAUUCCAUGAUUAGCAGGGGGACUGCCUGUCCCUAGGGCUAUGGACCAGUCUGUCUCCUUCUUGCCCCUCCCUCUCCAGUAUGAUACAGGACACCACUCAAUCAAUAUGGGAAGUUUAAAAUCAACCCACACUUCAUUCUUAUCUCUCCAGACUGAAGAAAAAUUUAUAGAAUUGAGCUCACUCACGGAGAGUACCAGAUCCCGCUUGCGCCUGGAGUUCUUCUGCCCACUCCCUCUGGUCCUGCAUGGGGAAGCAGUAAACCCUAGAGAGUGUCUCAGCUCCCCUGUUCCCCCAGGGCCUGACUCUUCCAAGGCACCGUCCAGCGCAGCUGCAGCACUGAGCAUGUCCUCAGGGCGGGGCGGUGGCAGCUUGGUUCCAUUUUCUGGCCCUGUCUCUGAGGUUGCCCGCUGGAUAGCCAGUUGUGUGGCUGGUGAGAGUUGCUUGGCAUAAGCAGGGACCAGCACCCGCUGUACUGCACCCUCAGAGGCCACAUAAUCAUCCACCAGCUAAGAACAUAAAAAAGAAUAGCCUAUUAGCCAUCCAGGCUUAGGGGAACCCGGUCACCCAUCAUUCUUUGGCCAAGGAUAAUGAGAGAGUGGAAAGCAGGGGGAAUCCAAGACAGUCUUUAAUGGCCAAUAACUUGUUUCUCUGGUACUCCUAUGGGGGUGUUGGCAAAUAUUUCUGGGAUACCCAGGGCCUCUCAUGUUGAAUUGUUACCAUAGGACUGAUUACAAGGACAAGGCUUGUUUCUGACACUCUGUUUGUGAGGAAUCCUCUAUGAUUUGCUCUUGGGUAUAAGAACCGUAGCCAGGCAAGUAUUUUGUCUAAAAGGCACUGGGGGAGGAAGUGAUGACAAGAAAGGAACACCGAGCAAGAAAAGAAACAAGAAAAUAAAAUGAUAACAAAAGGGAGAAAUAGGAGAAAAUGGGAGCAAAGACGGGAGCUAUAAAGUCAGAAAUUUCUAGAGAGGCUGGCACCAACUGUCCCCCACCUCCCACCCCAUUCCCUUUGCACCACCUGUCUGUGCCCUCACUUGAUCCUGCCCUGGCUGCAUCCAACCGUCGCUGCCCUGACAUCUACUUGCUGCCUGUGCCCUCACUCAAGGACACACAGGGCAGGGAAAGGAAGGAGGGAGGAAGGAGACUGAGGGAAGAAAGGAGGGGGGAUUUCUGCAGCCAAGAAAACAAAACAGUGAAAGUGGGGGGGGGUGGGAAACACAGAAAGAAGCGGGGGAGGAGGCUGAGAUUUAUAGACCUGUGAGCUGCUUUCUGCGCUGUGAAAUCUAAUUCCGUCCUGUCGGCUUGGAAGCCUUCCCUGCCUGACAGAACCACAGCUCAGGGCAUCGCCUGGCCUGGUACCUGGUGCCUCCUGCCUCCUCCCACCUCCCUGCAGCCCCAAACCCCCCUUGAGUUCUGGCUGGGCAGAGGGAGGCAUGAGGCAGUGACCACCACCCACCCGCAUGGCUAAGCCUUCAGGGAGCAGUGACCAGCUGUAGCGUGACACUGGAGGGGGACAUGGGGCUUCUACAUUCGUUUCUCAGAUCCAGCAGAUGGGCUGGGAGUUUCCUCCCUCCCAUCUCCCCUGUGUGCUCUGAUCCUUUUCUCUUUCCUGGGUGUCAGGGCCUUGUCACGUGCUGGAGGAGGAAAGAGAGGGCAGGGCGGGAGCAUGGGGGAGGAGGGUUGCCAGACCUCCCACUGUCUCUCAAGUGGCGACACAUCUGUUACUUUCCCAUCUCUAUGAUCUCUGUAGUUGCUCCAUCUCCUUUUCAUACUUCCGUGUGCCACGCUCCGCAGUUUUUACUCUACUCAGCCAGGGUUUGCCUGCUCAGAUGGCCCUGAGCAGUAAAGAAACUGAAAUAGCACAAGGUGCUUCUGUGUCUUUUCCUGCGCACGAAAUAGGUGCACUUGCUCCCCUGGUUCUCCCUACAUGCCAUUCUCUUCCGAGGAGCUCUCAACGACAACUGUCUGUCCGCUUCUUGUCCUCCUGUUACUCCCUCCCCUCUGCCUCCCUCCCACCUUCCCUCACAUUCUGUGGCACGCAUAUAUUCUCUUUCCAUUUAGAUAUACCUUUCCUCUCUGCUCGGUUCACUUUUUCUCCUUCCUCAACCCUUCAUUUCCACCUGCCUCCUUCCCUCCCUACACCUGUCUUGUGUCCUUUGUCCUCUCCGUCUCUCCUUCCUUCCCUCUCCUCCCUCUCUGUCCCCCUCUGUCCCUCUCCUCUCCAGCUCUCCCUUCCUCUCCACCUCUGCAUCUCCCCCCUCCACAUUCCCAUCUCUCUCUGUACUGAAUUCCUCUUGGCAAGCAGAGGGCCCAUGAUAAAAUAUGAAUGAGCCGUCUGUGCACGGCAGGCCUUCUCGCCAGGAGAGGCAGAGCCCCUGGAGCAGCUGAGCCAGCUGUGGAGGAGAAGGUGGCACACAGAGCUCCUGAGAGGGAGGGAAGGGCACGACCAUCACCACGCACACCAGCAAUGACCUGCCGAAGAGGUUGAGGUUCAGAAGAAAACAGAUGAGUGCCGACUAUCCCUGCCGGCUAAGGAGACUUGGUGCUGUCCUGUUUUAGCACAAGUAAAACCAAAAAAAAGGUUUGCAGCUGGAAAGAAACUAGAGGGAGGGGGAAGGAGGAGAGAAAGGCCAGGAGAAGCAGUCAGGAGCUACCACACGACACUGGCGUCCUGCUCUGAGGCCAUACUCACGGGAUUGAGCAUCGGGGCCGCCUCGCUGGCAGCCAGGGUGCAUCCGGGGAGCCGCGUGUCUCUCUGGCCAGCCGGGAAGCCCAAAGGCCCGGGACCCACAGCGGACGCGGCUCCCACCUGCCACAGCUCCUCAAUCACCACCUGCAUGCCACUGCCCACGCUGUCACACUCCUCCUCUGCGGCAGAUGCGGCCUUGCAGGCUUCCCCGGGGCUCUCUUUGAGAGGCCCAGCCUCCUCGGGUGGGGAGCCCUGGGCCCUGCUGUCCCCAUCUUCCUCAGGGGCAGAGGCUUUCCCCUGCCUCAGCUCACCCACCUCCUCCUGGAGACAUUUUAGUAAUUCGUUGUUGGCCCUGGCGAGCCCCAGAGCAGCCUCAGCCAGGCCCACUGCCUUCUCCACGCGCUGGUAGAUAAUAUGAAGGAGCUGCUCUGAACUCUGAACUGCCAGGCCAUGUCCGGUCACUGUGAUAGGGGUGCUGGGAGGAGGGUUCCCGCCCUGAGAGCUUGUGCUGCCCCCACUAGUCUCGCUCUUACAGGCGCAGCAGCAACAUCUGGCCUCACUGCCACCAGGAGGGGAGAAGAGAAUGGUGGCACUGAAGGACAUGGUUGACCGCAGCGGGAACAACUUCGGUCACACUGCCGGACUGCUCCAAAAGG
rnacentral:lncRNA from 1 species